ensembl:snRNA U4 U4 spliceosomal RNA
AAGUUUGUGUAUUGGUAGUAUCAUAGCCAAUGAAGUUUAACCAAGGCAUGACUAUUGCUAAUUGAAAACUCACUAUAUAGACUAAAAUAUUUGGUUUUGUAAUUCCAGGAGGCUGCUCUUAAGUGUGUGGCUGUCACACUUAGUGUAAAAGUAG